AACGAACGCUAGCGGCAGGCUUAAUACAUGCAAGUCGUGGGGCAGCAUGAAUGUAGCAAUACAUUUGAUGGCGACCGGCAAACGGGUGCGGAACACGUACACAACCUUCCUAUAAGUGGGGAAUAGCCCAGAGAAAUUUGGAUUAAUACCCCGUAACAUAAUGAUGUGGCAUCACAUUAUUAUUAUAGCUACGGCGCUUAUUGAUGGGUGUGCGGCUGAUUAGAUAGUUGGCGGGGUAACGCCCCACCAAGUCUACGAUCAGUAGCUGAUGUGAGAGCAGGAUCAGCCACACGGGCACUGAGACACGGGCCCGACUCCUACGGGAGGCAGCAGUAAGGAAUAUUGGUCAAUGGACGCAAGUCUGAACCAGCCAUGCCGCGUGAAGGAUUAAGGUCCUCUGGAUUGUAAACUUCUUUUAUCUGGGACGAAAAAAGGCGAUUCUUCGUCACUUGACGGUACCAGAUGAAUAAGCACCGGCUAACUCCGUGCCAGCAGCCGCCGUAAUAC
rnacentral:rRNA from 1 species